rnacentral:rRNA from 1 species
CCGAGUGUCCGUAAAUGCGGACUGUCCGUAUGUCUAAAAAGCAUGCGAAGAAAGGGCCGGGCAAGACCGGUGCCAGCCGCCGCGGUAAUACCGGCGGCUCGAGUGGUGGCCACUAUUAUUGGGCUUAAAGCGUUCGUAGCUGGAUCGUUAAGUCUCUUGGGAAAUCUACCGGCUUAACCGAUAGGCGUCCAAGGGAUACUGGCGAUCUAGGGACCGGGAGAGGUGAGGGGUACUUCAGGGGUAGGAGUGAAAUCCUGUAAUCCUUGGGGGACCACCUGUGGCGAAGGCGCCUCACCAGAACGGCUCCGACAGUGAGGGACGAAAGCUGGGGGAGCAAACCGGAUUAGAUACCCGGGUAGUCCCAGCCGUAAACGAUGCGCGUUAGGUGUAUCGAUGACCACGAGUCAUCGAGGUGCCGAAGGGAAACCGUGAAACGCGCCGCCUGGGAAGUACGGUCGCAAGGCUGAAACUUAAAGGAAUUGGCGGGGGAGCACCACAACAGGUGGAGCCUGCGGUUUAAUCGGACUCAACGCCGGAAAUCUCACCGGAUAAGACAGCUGAAUGAUAGUCGGGCUGAAGACUCUACUUGACUAGCUGAGAGGAGGUGCAUGGCCGUCGUCAGUUCGUACUGUGAAGCAUCCUGUUAAGUCAGGCAACGAGCGAGACCCACGUCAACAGUUGCCAGCAUGUCCUCCGGGAUGGUGGGGACACUGUUGGGACCGCCUCUGCUAAAGAGGAGGAAGGAAUGGGCAACGGUAGGUCAGCAUGCCCCGAAUUAUCCGGGCUACACGCGGGCUACAAUGGGCAGGACAAUGGGCUCCGACACCGAAAGGUGAAGGCAAUCUCUUAAACCUGUUCGUAGUUCGGAUUGCGGGUUGCAACUCGCCCGCAUGAAGCUGGAAUCUGUAGUAAUCGCGUCUCAAAAUGGCGCGGUGAAUAUGUCCCUG